UUCAGGAUCAGUGAGUCAAUGCGGUCACACAUCACUCCUGUAGGACAAAACACGUUUUUCUUCCGACUUAAAAACCAUGACCGCUAUCACUUGUACAGCUCUCAUCCCAACAACCUUUUCAGUCUUAGCGCUGGAGAAUAAGGAAAUGGAAGUCUGAACUUGCAACAAGGUAACUAUGCCAACUGUUUAACCUCCUUUGUACCAAAGCUAAACCACAGAACAACACAUGGGUAUAAGAUAUAGACCCAUAUAUUGUGAAAGAAAUAAUAGAAACCAAGCAUUCCAUACUACAGAUACAAAGCUUCAGUAAAAAGCCGAUAGUUAUUAAAGGGAGGCAAGAAAGUAAAAGGAAGAUUUAAUAUCUGCAAUAAAAU